UACGGGGGGGGGCAAGCGUUGUUCGGAAUUACUGGGCGUAAAGGGCUCGUAGGCGGCCAACUAAGUCGGAUGUGAAAUCCCCAGGCUUAACCUGGGAACUGCAUCCGAUACUGGAUGGCUUGAAUCCGGGAGAGGGAUGCAGAAUUCCAGGUGUAGCGGUGAAAUGCGUAGAUAUCUGGAGGAAUACCGGUGGCGAAGGCGGCAUCCUGGACCGGCAUUGACGCUGAGGAGCGAAAGCCAGGGGAGCAAACGGG
rnacentral:rRNA from 1 species